UAUUAUCUGUAGGAUUCUGGCUGAUGACCUGUUCUUUCCAUUGGAGUCUGAACAGAGUAUUGUUAAAUUGAUGUUGAUGUCUGUGGGAUGUCGAUCCACGGCACAUCUGUGUAACAAAAGGGGACACCCAUGAGUUCCUACCUGUGUCUUCCACGCUCAGACUGGAGAGUUCUGACCCAGAGGCCUUUGUGGGCUGGCGGAUCCUUUGGGCGAUUUGGUUUGGAUCCGCUAGAAGAGGCCGAAGGAAACAUCCUGAUGUGUUUAUGGACUCUGCUGAAGCUUAAUGAUCUCUAGAGAAGAGUUUUUAAUUUCUCUGGGUAUCUCCCUGUCUUGUGAAUGUGCACACUGACUUCAAACACUUGCUAGUCUGUUAUUAAGGAAUAUCACAUGUACAACAAACUGGUAAAGUAUAAGAAUCAGCAACAGCCCACAUUGGCGACACCCAACGUAAAAUUAGCUGUAGUAUUAGUUUUGUGUGUCUUCCAUGGAACCCCUACAUUCUAAAACUCAGGCUGCUCUAACAAAGGAAAGCGUACACUCCAAUUUAGGGAACACAGUAAAGCUGGUCCCACAACCAUUGAGGUCUUUUAGUGGACUUUAGUCUUCAUGUUCUGGGCCAGAAUUUUUCUGUGACUUACGUCACUGACUAUAAACUCCAUGAGAACAGGAGCCACUUCCACCUUCAUCUCUGUAUUACCUAGUUCCAACCUGGGAAUAUAAAGAGAGCUCACUAUUUUGUUCAAUGGUUAAGUCAUGAGGAGUUUGGGUUGUGGGAAGAAUAAAGUUGAAUACUAUAAUUUUGAAGUUCUCACAAAUGUGGAAGAUGGUGUUGCAUUGUUUUUAGGUUUCCCAAACUUUGUCAUUAUUGAUACUUUGGUGGGUGGUGGUGGUGGGCAGAGUGCUGUCCUGAGUAUUGUAGGACCUUUAGCAGCAUCUCUGGCCUCUACCUGCUAGAUAUCAGUAGCAUGAUCCCUUCCUCCCAAGUUGUGAAAACCCAAAAUGUUUCUAGACAUUGCAAACUCAUCCUGUAAAAACCACUGUUUUCGGUAAAAAUAUAUAGGUAUACACAUUAAUGACUUAAAAACAAAACCCUUGGGGAAAUUAAUAAAUUAAGAAAUAAAACAGUCUGGGAGUAGGUUCUGGGUCUUGGGCAACAAAACAAAAACUGUUGCCUCCAAAUGCCCCCAUCCAUAUUAGGGAAACUAUAAGCCUGACCUGCCAGAGAUGGGUUAGCUGUUCUGUGGCAACAGUCUCUUAAUUUCCCUCUUUAAUUCAAGGGUUCACAGAAUACAGUGCCUGGCAGGGAUCAUGACAUCCACAUGCUGUGACUGAAGGCGGAACUGAAUCCACGCAGGACUGUAAGCUUCCUGAAGUCAGGGACUUCAUGUUGGUAAUCCUGGUGCCUUACAAAGGAUCUCAUCAAUAGUAGAAGCCAUAUCAGAAAAGAAGUUCACACAGAGAAUUACAGGAGGCAAUGAAACCAAAGUCACUGUGUAAAUUCCAAUGUGGCAUUUGAAUUGAAGAUACAGUUAUUACAACAGAGAGGAUCGCCAUGCAGAGACAAGUUCCUGGUUCUAAAUCCCAGGGCAAUUGAAGUGUUGCACUCUCCUGACUGCCGGCACCCACGCUCUUCGGCAUCUACAGUGUCAUGACCAUUUGUCCUCACUUGCUGCACAGCUCCUGCUCUCAGAUCCCAGCUCUCACUCAGUCAUC